UUCUAAAGUGUUGAGUUCAGUUCAAGGCAGCUUCCCUGUUCUGUUAAUUAAACUUUGAGGCAUUGAAACACAGGCUAGGGGAGAUGAACGAUAGAAAGCACUACUCUAUUCCAAUAUCCGGCCAAGAUGA